UACGUAGGAGACGAGCGUUGUCCGGAGUUACUGGGCGUAAAGGGUGCGCAGGUGGCGGCGCGCGUGGGGGGUGAAAUCGCCCGGCUUAACUGGGCGGGGGCCUUCCAGACGGCGUGGCUUGAGCAGCGGAGGGGGACGUGGAAUUCCCGGUGUAGCGGUGAAAUGCGUAGAGAUCGGGAGGAAGGCCGGUGGCGAAGGCGGCGCUCUGGAACAUUUCUGACGCUGAGGCUCGAAAGCGUGGGGAGCAAACAGG
rnacentral:rRNA from 1 species